GGCGAUAUGGCUCAGUGGUUAAGAGCACUGACUGCUCUUCCAGAGGUCCUGAGUUCAAUUCCCAGUAACCCCA
rnacentral:tRNA from 1 species